AUUGAACGCUGGCGGCAUGCUUUACACAUGCAAGUCGAACGGGCUGGGGGCAACUCCAGUCAGUGGCGAACGGGUGAGUAAUACAUCGGAACGUACCUCGUAGUGGGGGAUAACUCGGCGAAAGCCGUGCUAAUACCGCAUAUGCUCUACGGAGGAAAGCAGGGGACCGUAACAGGCCUUGUGCUAUGGGAGCGGCCGAUGUCCGAUUAGCUAGUUGGUGAGGUAAUGGCNCACCAAGGCGACGAUCGGUAGCUGGUCUGAGAGGAUGAUCAGCCACACUGGGACUGAGACACGGCCCAGACUCCUACGGGAGGCAGCAGUGGGGAAUUUUGGACAAUGGGCGCAAGCCUGAUCCAGCCAUGCCGCGUGAGUGAUGAAGGCCUUAGGGUUGUAAAGCUCUUUCGGCGGGGACGAUAAUGACGGUACCCGCAGAAGAAG
rnacentral:rRNA from 1 species